UGCCUUGUGGUGUAACGGUAGCACGCGAGUUUCUGGCACUCUUAGUGAGGGUUCGAGUCCUUCCAAGGCAACAA
rnacentral:tRNA from 1 species